UACAGAGGUGGCAAGCGUUGUUCGGAAUUAUUGGGCGUAAAGGGCGCGUAGGCGGCUUGGCAAGUGGAUGGUGAAAUCCCUCGGCUUAACCGAGGAACUGCCGUCCAAACUGCUUCGCUUGAGACCGGGAGAGGUGAGUGGAAUUCCCAGUGUAGCGGUGAAAUGCGUAGAUAUUGGGAGGAACACCAGUGGCGAAGGCGGCUCACUGGACCGGUACUGACGCUGAUGCGCGAAAGCAUGGGGAGCGAACAGG
rnacentral:rRNA from 1 species